AUUGAACGCUGGCGGCAUGCCUUACACAUGCAAGUCGAACGGUAACAGGUCUUCGGAUGCUGACGAGUGGCGAACGGGUGCGUAAUACAUCGGAACGUGCCCGAUCGUGGGGGAUAACGGAGCGAAAGCUUUGCUAAUACCGCAUACGAUCUACGGAUGAAAGCAGGGGACCGCAAGGCCUUGCGCGGACGGAGCGGCCGAUGGCAGAUUAGGUAGUUGGUGGGAUAAAAGCUUACCAAGCCGACGAUCUGUAGCUGGUCUGAGAGGACGACCAGCCACACUGGAACUGAGACACGGCCCAGACUCCUACGGGAGGCAGCAGUGGGGAAUUUUGGACAAUGGGCGAAAGCCUGAUCCAGCCAUGCCGCGUGCAGGAUGAAGGCCUUCGGGUUGUAAACUGCUUUUGUACGGAACGAAAAGACUCUUUCUAAUAAAGAGGGUCCAUGACGGUACCGUAAGAAUAAGCACCGGCUAACUACGUG
rnacentral:rRNA from 1 species